AGAAGCUUGCUUCUUUGCUGACGAGUGGCGGACGGGUGAGUAAUGUCUGGGAAACUGCCUGAUGGAGGGGGAUAACUACUGGAAACGGUAGCUAAUACCGCAUAACGUCGCAAGACCAAAGAGGGGGACCUUCGGGCCUCUUGCCAUCGGAUGUGCCCAGAUGGGAUUAGCUAGUAGGUGGGGUAACGGCUCACCUAGGCGACGAUCCCUAGCUGGUCUGAGAGGAUGACCAGCCACACUGGAACUGAGACACGGUCCAGACUCCUACGGGAGGCAGCAGUGGGGAAUAUUGCACAAUGGGCGCAAGCCUGAUGCAGCCAUGCCGCGUGUAUGAAGAAGGCCUUCGGGUUGUAAAGUACUUUCAGCGGGGAGGAAGGGAGUAAAGUUAAUACCUUUGCUCAUUGACGUUACCCGCAGAAGAAGCACCGGCUAACUCCGUGCCAGCAGCCGCGGUAAUACGGAGGGUGCAAGCGUUAAUCGGAAUUACUGGGCGUAAAGCGCACGCAGGCGGUUUGUUAAGUCAGAUGUGAAAUCCCCGGGCCCAACCUGGGAACUGCAUCUGAUACUGGCAAGCUUGAGUCUCGUAGAGGGGGGUAGAAUUCCAGGUGUAGCGGUGAAAUGCGUAGAGAUCUGGAGGAAUACCGGUGGCGAAGGCGGCCCCCUGGACGAAGACUGACG
rnacentral:rRNA from 1 species